GUGAUGGUGUACUGCAUCUGGUGCAGCCUCCUGUUGAGCCAGACCAACAUGCAGUUGAAAAUAAUGAAGAAACAUUGACAGCUGUUACAGAGGAGGAAGCAACAGAGACACUUUAUGAGAGUGAUGAUGGAAAUGCAGAGGAAGAGGGUCCAGCCACUUCUCCAACAAACCUUUCCUCAGUAAGAUGUUCAGCACUGAUUUACAACCAACCUAAGUAGGCAUGUACUAUGAAUGUCAAUGCUAUUUUCUGUGUUUCAAUAGCUCCCUGUAAAGCAGCUGUACAAGACCUAUUUGAUCAA